rnacentral:rRNA from 1 species
GACGAACCGUCCAAACGUUAUUCGGAAUCACUGGGCUUAAAGGGUGCGUAGGCGGGCGCGGAAAGUUGGGUGUGAAAUCCCUCGGCUUAACCGAGGAACUGCGCCCAAAACUACCGUGCUUGAGGGAGAUAGAGGUGAGCGGAACUUAGGGUGGAGCGGUGGAAAUGCGUAGAUAUCUGGAGGAACACCGGUGGCGAAAGCGGCAUCCUGGACCGACAUUGACGCUGAUGAGCGAAAGCUAGGGGAGCAAACGGG